UACAGAGGUCUCAAGCGUUGUUCGGAUUCAUUGGGCGUAAAGGGUGCGUAGGCGGCGCGGUAAGUCGGGUGUGAAAUCUCGGAAGCUUAACUCCGAAACUGCAUUCGAUACUGCCGUGCUUGAGGACUGGAGAGGAGACUGGAAUUUACGGUGUAGCGGUGAAAUGCGUAGAUAUCGUAAGGAAGACCAGUGGCGAAAGGCGGGUCUCUGGACAGUUCCUGACGCUGAGGCACGAAGGUCAGGGGAGCAAACGGGA
rnacentral:rRNA from 1 species